AAUAUCAAAGGUGAGCCAGUACAGGAUGGACCCGCGUCUGAUUAGCUAGUUGGUAAGGUAACGGCUUACCAAGGCGACGAUCAGUAGCCGACCUGAGAGGGUGAUCGGCCACAUUGGAACUGAGACACGGUCCAAACUCCUACGGGAGGCAGCAGUGGGGAAUAUUGCACAAUGGGCGAAAGCCUGAUGCAGCAACGCCGCGUGAGUGAUGAAGGCCUUCGGGUCGUAAAACUCUGUCCUCAAGGAAGAUAAUGACGGUACUUGAGGAGGAAGCCCCGGCUAACUACGUGCCAGCAGCCGCGGUAAUACGGAGGGGGCUAGCGUUAUCCGGAUUUACUGGGCGGAAAGGGUGCGUAGGCGGUCUUUCAAGUCAGGAGUGAAAGGCUACGGCUCAACCGUAGUAAGCUCUUGAAACUGGGAGACUUGAGUGCAGGAGAGGAGAGUGGAAUUCCUAGUGUAGCGGUGAAAUGCGUAGAUAUUAGGAGGAACACCAGUUGCGAAGGCGGCUCUCUGGACUGUAACUGACGCUGAGGC
rnacentral:rRNA from 1 species